CUCGGGUCGGGCAAAUUGGAAGAUCACUCGACUUGGUUAAGCUCAGCCCAGUGCAUUUUUUGAAAUGGUUCCGGAAAAUUCACCUUCACGCUUGAGAAACAACCGCAGCCGCAUACAAAGUGCCGCUGUGCAAGUUAAGACGAUGCAAAAAGCACUUACACUCACUUACCUUUUCCUCUUUUCUUGCAGACGUAGCCUCUCUUGUUGCCGCACGGGUCGUACUUCCAGUCGCCACUGCCAGUGAGCAAGCAGACAACCGUCUCCGACCAACCUUCCCAAUGGCGCUUGAACGUGAACGAGGAUCCGUCAAUCCAUUUGCCGUCAUCGUCAUCGAGUGAGACAUUGGCGCCCAACCACAGAGAGGACGCUUGUGCCUGACUAAUGAGACCUGCGGAUAAAAAAAAGAACAUGCAAGAAGAAUAGGGGGGCGUUAGCCAAGAUGACGAGAAGUCGUAUCAACACCAAGCCAGCAAUAACUAUUAUUUCAUGUUCUAAUGAUAACAUAUGCACACAUGGUUUCAAGUGAAAUGCGGUGGUCAAUGAAUAGUUGUUGUUUUUUUGGGGGGGGGAGGGUUUGGUCAAUGUGGGACCUGCCAGCUGGCAGGAAGAACACAGGAUCCAGACAGACUCGGCUGCUCAAUCCAUAUAUUUCUUGGUGUAGAAGUAAAACCUCAAAUGAUGACAAUGAUAUUGAUAUGUGUAGCAUCAACAAAAGUUCUUGAAACUGCACAACCAUUGACUCACAUAUGCAUUAUGUCUUACAUCUGGUAGAUUUCCAAAGGACAUGAAAAUAGCUACUACCACUGUAGAAAUAGACUAAUUACACGCCAUUCUCUCUCUCUCUGCUCUUUCAAUACUCCGAGAUCCUUGAAAAAGUUUCACAGAAAAACUCGACAACUUUUUUGAAUAAAGAAAAGAAAAAAGUCAA